GUACAGGAACCGAACCAUACCGGUCUCCACCGCCUACAGCCCGGCACAAUGCCACUUUUGGAAAUGCGCGAAACAAUAGUGCGACGUAACAACGUGGCGGUUGUCAACUAUUCAUGUGCGUGGACUCUUCCUGAGUUGUGGAUUUACCUUUUUCAAGUCUUCCUGUAGGGGUGUGUUUCUUUCUGUUAGUAACACAGCAAAGAUGGCAUUGAAGAAAAGUUUUGCCUGAAAUUGUGGACAAUGAUGACGAAAUGUGUGCGGACGUGAGGUUUUGCUUUCCAUUUAGAGAGAUCGGUCAGAUUUUUUUCAGACGGAAUGACUCAGAUCAGAAGUCAGGAACUUUUGGGGAGUUAAAAUCCAAAACAUUUCCUGUUGGAGGGUAUGGCUCCGGAUUUCGAGGUGCUCGUUGUUUCGGAAAUCUGUCACCAUUUAUUGUCUGGAUGCGCGCCUGACGUCAUGAUAAACAAACAAGCACGCACACUUUUACGCCCAAAACACGCUCUCGUGUAGCCUUACCAGUUUUCACUUUUAGUCUUGCGUAAUUGUCUUGAGAAAUCCGCGUUCUCCAAGCUAUUAAAAACCAGUAAAACGGGACAGUCGUUUCGCCUUCUGAGCACGGGGGACAGAUAGAAGAGAAGCUGAAAGGUAGGAUAAUCAAUGAUAGGGUAAAGGCUUACUCUAGUCGGCAGAGGUCAAGAUUCUUCUGUUCUGUCAAGAUGCUCCGGAAGAUGAUCACAGCGAGAUAAACAAAGGAAAGUGGGCAAACUGCAUGCGUAAAAUUUGAUAACCGGCAGUCAAGGAGACAUUUGGAUCAGACUUUUCGUACCAAUAGUUAAAGUACAAUCUCUUGGACGCAGAAAAUUUCCAUCGUCAUUCGGAGGAAUUGUUGGCUCAUCUGCUGCCGAAACAGACGGCCAGAACUUCCUUUAUAGAGGAAUGCCCUCAACAAACUUAAAGACAAGCUUGGAAAAUGCCGCUUUCUUUCUACGCCGGUCGAAGAUCGGCGCUGCUAAACAAACUAGGGAACAACAAUUUGCAAAGCUACCCAGCUCGAGAUUCGACGAGUUAACAGAACUUUACAAUGAACACACGCCACGACACAACAACAGAGCCAAACUAGACAAGGUGGCUCAUUUACUGGUACAAAUUCUGCAGGUACAAGAAGUGCAAACGAUCAAGGAAUACACCAUGAAUGGGUACCGUUUCAAGGUACACGUGCUUGAAGACACAGAGUUAUAGCAAGCAUGGUUAGACAGUUGUCAUCACUGUGCAACAUGCGGACUGAACUUCUUGGUUGUAAUUAGUUUCUUUAGAAGGCAAAGGCGCUUCAUAAUCAAGGAAAUCAGAACGAUUUAUUGUUGCUAUUAGCAAAGAUAAGGGGCUGUGAAACUGACUGAACUGAUCGAUGGCCAACUUGUGUAUUUCAAUAAAGCUCCUAGCUUGGGGCUAUUGAUUCCCGAAGCUGCAUUGAUUUCAAUCGGGACAUCAAACUGUGAUGGACCUUUAUUCUGUAAAUGGUUAAAUUAGAUGAACCCGCAAGAUCAUGUUAGCCAUGAUGAUAGAUAAGAGUCAACGGUUUUACAGCCUUAAAAUCUUCCGCUCCUAAGAUGUAAAUAUGUAAAAGACAUUUGGUAGUUUAUUGAACCUUUGAUGUUCUGAAAACACAGGCUUGUUUCUAAACAAAACAUUGAGCCUUGCUCCAGAGUAAAAGAAAACAAAUGCUCAAGUACAUUUUGUUCUAGUAUGUUAAUGCGUUAGAUAAUUGUACCUAAUUCUUUUUCAAUCGGUUGACCAAAAGAAACAAGUCACUGUCGCUUUGGGUACUCACGAGUUGGUCUGCUGUGUUGGAAUUCACGCCCAUAUCUCAUGACGCAUGAUAAAGGUACAUGUACACACGUACACACCAAGGGUCAAGUAUUGUUUUUUUUUUAAAAUGUAAUUUCAAUUUUCCCAUAGCUUUUCUUUGAGCGAGGAUGGUUCGUAAAUCCAGUUAAAUGUUCCCUAUAGUUUUCACUACCGGUUCUCUUAUGACUCAUUUAUAACUUAGCUAAUGGUCUGUUUUCUACUUAACAUGGUUAACCACACAAAGAGCCAGAAGAUGCAUUGCUUCUCAGUUUCAUUCUUUAAUUGAAAAAAACAUUU